CCUCAAGGGAGAAAUCAGAGACCUAAAAAUUAGACUCGAUAGAGUUGAACUCAACAUUCUUACCGAACAAGUUCUAAAAAAUGUGUCUCUUCCAGAGCAUGAUUCCCCACUCGAAUCACCUAGAGCUUCUCCGAUGAUCAAUGAUCAAGAUGAUCAAUGAUCAAGAUGAUCAAUGAUCAAAAUGAUCACCUUAAAGAGCCAGGAUCAUUCCCCGGCUUGAUAUCAGAGCCAGG
rnacentral:lncRNA from 1 species